UACGGAGGGUGCAAGCGUUAUCCGGAAUUACUGGGUUUAAAGGGUGCGUAGGUGGGUUGGUGAGUCAGUGGUGAAAUACUUUCGCUUAACGAAGGAACUGCCAUUGAUACUACCAGCCUUGAAUACAGUGGAGGUGGGCGGAAUGCGUCAUGUAGCGGUGAAAUGCUUAGAUAUGACGCAGAACACCAAUUGCGAAGGCAGCUUGCUACGCUGUUAUUGACACUGAGGCACGAAAGCGUGGGGAUCAAACAGG
rnacentral:rRNA from 1 species